rnacentral:misc_RNA from 1 species
AGAGGGUGAAGUAAGAUCCACAAAAUGAAAUACUCAGUGUGUCUUCUUGUGGCUUUGGCUGGGGUGGCAUUGGCCUAUCCGACAAAGGAAAGGCGCCCCCCUCCUGCAAAGAACGGCGAUGAUCUGAUUAAGAGACUAGAAGAAGUUCUAGAUGAUAUAGAAUUUGACAAAGAAUAUGACGACCAAAAGGCCCACCUCCAUCUGACGGAGAAGAUGGCUCAGGAGAAAGAAGACGCCCACCUCCAUCUGAUGGAGAAGAUGGCUCUGGAGAAGGAAGACGCGGGCCUCGACCAGAAGGAGACCAACAGGAGACACCAGCUAAAAGGGAAGAUACUGAACAAGCUGGAAGACGCAGACCAAAAGGCCCACCUCCAUCUGAUGGAGAAGAUGUCUCAGGAGAAAGAAGACGCCCACCUCCAUCUGAUGGAGAAGAUGGCUCUGGAGAAGGAAGACGCGGGCCUCGACCAGAAGGAGAUCAACAGGAGGCACCAGCUAAAAGGGAAGAUACUGAACAAACUGGAAGACGCAGACCAAAAGGCCCACCUCCAUCUGAUGGAGAAGAUGGCUCUGGAGAAGGAAGACGCCGGCCUCGACCAGAAGGAGACCAACAGGAGGCACCAGCUAAAAGGGAAGAUACUGAACAAGCUGGAAGACGCAGACCAAAAGGUCCACCUCCAUCUGACGGAGAAGAUGGCUCAGGAGAAAGAAGACGCCCACCUCCAUCUGAUGGAGAAGAUGGCUCUGGAGAAGGAAGACGCGGGCCUCGACCAGAAGGAGACCAACAGGAGGCACCAGCUAAAAGGGAAGAUACUGAACAAACUGGAAGACGCAGACCAAAAGGCCCACCUCCAUCUGAUGGAGAAGAUGGCUCUGGAGAAGGAAGACGCCGGCCUCGACCAGAAGGAGACCAACAGGAGGCACCAGCUAAAAGGGAAGAUACUGAACAAGCUGGAAGACGCAGACCAAAAGGUCCACCUCCAUCUGACGGAGAAGAUGGCUCAGGAGAAAGAAGACGCCCACCGCCUUCUGAUGGAGAAGAUGGCUCUGGAGAAGGAAGACGCGGGCCUCGACCAGAAGGAGACCAACAGGAGGCACCAGCUAAAAGGGAAGAUACCGAACAAGCUGGCGGACAGAGACAGAAACCACCAAAAGAUUCGGGACGUCAGAAACCAGCAGGAGAUGGCGAUCGUCAAGGAAACCUGGAACGACUUGAGCGACUUCUUGAAAAUUUGUUUUAAAUGACGAUAUCUAUAUUCCAUGCAAUAUCUACAGACACUUUGUUAAAGCUUUUGGAAUUUCUGAAUUUCUUGUUUAUUGAAUAAAUUCUUUCUGCAGAGCAAAACGACAUUUUAUUUUAUUGAACCUCCGC